rnacentral:lncRNA from 1 species
AGAGUGUAGACACUGACUGAUGGGACCAGGUACAAAAUCCCCUGGGACAAAACAGAACUUUCAUAACUGGCUGUAGAGUUAUUGUUUUUGCCUUUUGGAAGCUUCCACCUUGUGACGGGAAGAGCACUGUCAGCCCAACACAGAAACUCUGCCGCCUGGAGUCACGUGGAUCCAGAUGCGAAGGGACUCCAACGUCAUGCUAAGGAGUUUGGGUAGCCAUCCUGUGACCCUGGAAGAAACCAGCCCAAGGAAGGUGCUAACCUACAGAAGAAGGACAUGGCCAGGGUAAUCACAUAGACCCGGAGUUGAAGCCCUGACUGCACCACACCCGAAGCCUCCCCACCUUUCAACCUCUCGGUGAUGGUGAACCAAUAAACUCUUUUUAUUGUUCAAGCCAGUGUGAGUUAGGUUCGCUAUAAUUUGCUGCAGAAAGUCUCCUGAGUGAUUCAGAUGCCUGUUGGUGCUCCUGGAAUUGCAUCCAGAUGCCCUACCUUAGUAUUAAAGUCUCACUCAACUCUAAGAUCAAUGAGUGGGGAGGGUGAGGGCUAGAUUUUCAUUGACCCUGGUGUUGCCAGCCCCUGCUGGACAUCAAUCUGGCACAAAGCAGACAAUGUUAAUUUUUUUUUCCUUGAAGGAGUAAACCCAGGUCUCUCUCCAGUGUCUUAUCAGCCUCCCAAAGGCGGGGAAUCCCACUGGGGUCCCUGAUCACCUUCCAGAGCCACCUCUCUGCAAUCAGCUGCAUUUUGCUAGAAUCGGCCUUGCUGUCCACCUUCCCCAUCAGCGUCCUCAUGGAGACCACCAUGAGGGAGGGGCCAGCGGGUCUGAACUUGAGGCUAUGUCUAGCAGUGUGUCUGAGCUCCAGGUACCCAGGAGGGGGCCAUGGCCGAGUGAUGCCCAGGGCACAGGAUGGUGCAAGCAAGAUGUAAACAAGAUGCAAACAAGAUGGUGCAAGGAGAUGCAAACAAGAUGUUUGCAAGGAGAUGUUUGCAACAAGAUGUUUGCAAAGAGAUGUUUGCAACAAGAUGUUUGCAAGGAGAUGCAAACGAGAUGGUGCAAGGAGAGCCUCCAAAACAGCCUGGAAUUCACACAAGUAAAUGGGAGGGGCCUCAGAGCCACUGUGAUUUGGGCAGCAAUAAGUAUGACCAGCAGGGUGACCAGUGGACCAUGAGAAACAUCCACAUGUGGGUCCAAAGAACAUUGCAUUCCUUUGUUUAUCUAACCCACAUCCUCCUUCGUGUCUUAGGGCCUUUGCACUGCCCUUUCCUUGGACUGAUUACCCAGUUACUCUACCUCAUGACCAACCUCUGUCUUAAUUCUCUGCAGAGUGCUUAUCAAUGGCUGAUUGCAUUUGUUUGCUUUUGUUUCUCUGUCCAUGACAGCAAGGACCUUGAUUGUCUUAUUUAUCACUACUUCUCUCAUAUCAAAAAUCCCUCCAUAGUCCUGGCUCAGCAGCUCUUGCCUAUAAUCCCAGCACUUUGGGAGGCUGGGAAAGGAGGAUUGCUUGAGGCUAGGAGUUUGAGACCAGCAACAUAGCAAGACCCCAUUAAAAUAAAAUAAAAUAAAAAUUAGCCAGGUGAGGUGAUGUGUGUCUGUAGUCCCAGCUACUGAGUGGGGCUGGGGUGGGAAAACCACUAGAGCCUGGGAGGUUGAGGCUGCAGUAAGCCCUGAUCACAACGCUGCAUUCCAGCCUGGGUGACAAAGCGAGACCCUAUCCCCCCCACCAACAAAAAACAAACAAAAAUAAAAACUCCCCCUAUAAACACACAUUAAAUAAAUGAACAGCCCUGCCCCCUCCCACUCAGAGGCCCACCCCCUUCAAUUGCGAACUUGGUCCCAUCAGUCAGGUACCAUUCAGAUGUGAUCUCCACACAGGGGCCUCCACCUCCCUCAUCCCGAGUAAUCCCUCCUCCCCCAACUCACUUAUUUCCUUCAUGCCCUUUAUGGCAAUAUAAAAUUAUCUCAUGUAUUUGUGUUUACUUGUUCGUUAUCUGCUUUCUCCUGUGAAUGUAAACUAUAUCUUUCCUUGUCCCAGGGGAGAUCACUUCCAGACUUUAAGUAGGUGCUCAAUAACCUUUUGUGGCCGGAAUAAACAGCAAGGGAGAAAAUGAAUCUCCAGGGCUCUGGAAACAGUGGGCAUAAGAAGAUAAAGAAAGAAUCCUAGUUGAUUUCAGAGUAAUUCUGUGAGGUAAACAGGGUGGUUUUUUCUACCAUGGCUGUUGAGAGAUGAGGAAGGCAAAGUUUACAAUGUUGUGACCUCAUCAAAAUAGCUUGUCUGGUGAAGUGCACAUUUGAACUUGAGUCUGAUUCCUUUUCCAGUUCCUUUUCUUCUGAAUCAUGCAGCUUUCCUGUUCAAACUCAUCUGCAUAGAUACUAAAAGUAUCAGCAAUCUCCUCUCUGCAAAUCGCUCCAAAUUCUCGCAAGGUGGAGCCCGGCUGUUUGAGAAGCCAUCACUGAAUCUCCUGAUGUGUUGACCCUCACAGUGCUGCAGUUAUAUCGCUUUCAUGAGGCACCAGCAACCAAUAGCAGCUUGGCAUUGUAAAAGUUUCUCCGUGCCUUCAUGCUACAGCCAGGCCUCUGGUUUCUCUCUUUCUCUCAAUUAUUACCUUAACCAUGCCCUGGAGACCUAAGGAGCCGGUUUAUUUUGACUGGGAGAUUGUUAAACUGCAGGAGGCAAACCAGAGACAGUGCCAGGCUGUGAUUUCCAUUGCUCCACAUGGCCAGGGGGUGCUGAGAAUAGCCAAGGCCGCUUCCUGCUGGAGGAGGAAAUGGCAGUUUCCUCAACUCCAGGAAACCUUACUUCCUCUCUGGUGCCUAGCUCCGUGUUAACCAAUUAGACAGCUUCUUCCCACCCCAGACCCCAGAGACCUGGCCCAAGCCUGGAGAAGACAUCCUGUUUCCCCUGAGGAAGUGGCCCAGAUUGAAGGAGCCACUAGGGUAUUUGAGGGGGGAGUGAGUAGGAAAUAGGGCAGGAAGGGGCUGACAAGUAGUAAUAACAGUGGUAUCCAGUGUCCGCUAAGAACCGCGCCCCCACUGCCACCCCCACUGCUUUGUCCUGACCCUUGGAGAUCUCAAUAAACUUGGCAAACUCUUACUGGCCUUUGGAGUCCAAAGUCUUCCCAUGAUCCCAUCUCAUCCUCAAGCUGGCUCCUCCAUCCACCAUCUCUCUUCUGUAUACCAUCCCAGUCCAAAAAACAAUGCCGGCCCUUUCUUGGUUUCUACAGAAAACAGGCUCACACCACACAUUCCAGGAGUUUAGAAACGUUGCUGAGCACUAAAUGGGCACCAGGCACCAUCACAUUGCCUGGCAAAUAUCCUCAUGGAGACAGCUCUGGAGCCAGACUUCCUGGGUUCGAAUCCUGCUUCAUAUCCUCUGUCCCCAGCUAGCUAUGCCUUGUCAGGUGCGUCAUUUAACUCCUCUGGGUCUCAGUUUUUCCUCUAUUUCCCUCUAUCUAUGGGAAUAGUGGUAACUAGCCCUUCAGGGUUAUAGGAAUAUGCAAUGAGACAAAGCCCUGGGCUUGUAGCUCAGUACUCAGUGAUGGCCAUUAUUGUUUUACUCUGCUUCCUCCUCCGUUUCAGAAGCAGGGAAAAAAAACCCACAAAACCCUUUCCUUGUCUCUUGAAGAAUAAUAGUACCCUUUCAGGGGAAGGGUACUAAUGAAAUAAUUUAUUAUCUCAUUUUUUAAAAUAAACUUCAUAUCUUAGAAUAGUUUUAGACUCACAGGAAAAAUUGCAGAGGUAACAGAGAAUUCCCAGAUACUUCACACCCAGUUUCCCCAAAUCUUAACAUCGUGUGUGAAUGCGGUACAUUAGUUAAAAUUAAUGAACCAAUAUUAAUAUACUAUAAUUAACUAAAGCCCAUGGUUCCUCCUUAGGUUUUACAUAAUGUCUUUCUUUCUCUCUUUCUUUUCUUUUCUUUUCUUUUCUUUUCUCUUCUCUUCUCUUUUCCUUUCUUUUUCUUUCUUUCUCUCUCUCUCCUUCCUUCCUUCCUUCCUUUUUGAGACGAAGUCUCCCUCUGUCACACAGGCUGGAGUGCAGUGGUACAAUCUCAGCUUACCGCAACCUCCGCCUCCCAGGUUCAAGCAAUUCUCCUGCCUUAGCCUCUCGAGUAGCUGGGAUUACACCGCCACCAUGCCCAGCUAAUUUUGUGUAUUUCUACUAGAGAUGGGGUUUCACCAUGUUGGUCAGGCUGGUCUCAAACUCCUGACCUCAGGUGAUCCACCGCCUCGGACUUCCAAAGUGCUGGGAUUAUAGGAGUGAUUUCUCUUCCCAGAUCCCACCCAAGAUACCACAUUAUAUUUAGUCAUUAAGUCUCUUCAGGAUCCUCUGGCCUGUGACAGCUCCUUGUUUUCAUGACCUUGACAGUUUUGUGGAGUAUUGGCCAGGUGUUAUGAAGAGUGUCUCUCAAUUAGGUUUUGUCUCAUGUUUUUCUUUUGACUAGAUAGACUGGGUCUGGGGCUGAAAUGAAGAACACCACAGAGGUGACAUUUUGGUACAUACUAUAGACAUGACUUAUCACUGCUUAUGUUGACCUGAUUACCUGGCUUAGGUCAUGUUUGUCAGGUUUCUCCACUAACGUUACUUUUUUUUUCCUCCGUCUAUACCGUAUUCUUUGGAAGGAGGUCACUAUGCACAACACACAUUUAAGGAUUAGGGAGUUAUACUCCAUCUCCCACAGGGUAGAAUAUCUAUGUAAAUGAUUUGAAAUUCUGCUGCACAAAAAAAUUGUAUACUCUCCCCUAUUAGUCUCUUUAAUUAUCUAUUUAUAUCAGUAUGGACUCAUAGGUAUUUAUUUUAUACUUUGUAUUAUAAUGCUAC